UCUGUGAAGAGUGACUCCUAAGCAUUCCACAGUUACAGAAUGUGACGUGGUAUAUGAAUAUGCAAGAGCAGCCAUUAUCAGCUGAUCCCCAUGUCUUUGGAAAGAAUCACUCAUUGUGGAGAGAAUGAGGGGCUAUUUGAAAUGGCUUGAGAAAGAGAAGAGGAGUUGAUUCAAUCUUUUGCAAGACCCAAAGCUUCCUGUGGACUUUGACAGUUGUCAGAAUGCAGAGUUUCACAGAGUUCCUCUGCCAAGACAAAUGGCGGCUUUUGUUGUUGGAAACUUGGUGCCGGAAAAAAAUGAAUCAAGCAGAACCUUCCACACUUUGCAGGUGACUGAUCACAUGUUCCAGUUCUGUCUGACCUCACAUGCUGCUGAGAAUGUGAAU